GUUAAGUGUUACAAACAUUGGAUUUUUAAAAGAAAAAGAAAAAGAAGACACUAUUUCAAAAUGUCCAAUUAGGUUUAAGCUAAUGAAAGGUCAUCUCUAGAUCUAGGAUAGUUGAGGUCUGAGUCUCUAAUGGAGUUUUCAGUUUGAUCAUAAAAGAGUUGAAGAAAGGGAAUGUGGUUGAGAAGGGUUUGUUUUUGUUUUAGUAAUCUCUACUUCAUCUUCUUCUUCUUGAGAGCUCAUCUUCAUCUUCUUGAGAGCUCAUCU
rnacentral:misc_RNA from 1 species